rnacentral:rRNA from 1 species
GACGAACGCUGGCGGCGUGCCUAAUACAUGCAAGUUGAGCGCUGAAGGUUGGUACUUGUACCGACUGGAUGAGCAGCGAACGGGUGAGUAACGCGUGGGGAAUCUGCCUUUGAGCGGGGGACAACAUUUGGAAACGAAUGCUAAUACCGCAUAAAAACUUUAAACACAAGUUUUAAGUUUGAAAGAUGCAAUUGCAUCACUCAAAGAUGAUCCCGCGUUGUAUUAGCUAGUUGGUGAGGUAAAGGCUCACCAAGGCGAUGAUACAUAGCCGACCUGAGAGGGUGAUCGGCCAACUUGGGACUGAGACACGGCCCAAACUCCUACGGGAGGCAGCAGUAGGGAAUCUUCGGGAAUGGACGAAAGUCUGACCGAGCAACGCCGCGUGAGUGAAGAAGGGUUUCGGAUCGUAAAACUCUGUUGGUAGAGAAGAACGUUGGUGAGAGUGGAAAGCUCAUCAAGUGACGGUAACUACCCAGAAAGGGACGGCUAACUACGUG